rnacentral:rRNA from 1 species
GUCUUUUGUUUAUAUAAAAGAUUUGGCCUGCCCAAUGAGUUAUUUUAAUGGCUGCAGUAUUUUGACUGUACAAAGGUAGCAUAAUCAUUUGUCUUUUAAUUGAAGUCUGGUAUGAAUGGUUGGAUGAAAAAUUUACUUUCUUUAUUUUAAAAUUAAAAUUUAAUUUUUUAGUUAAAAAGCUAAAAUUUGUUUACAGGACGAGAAGACCCUAUAGAGCUUCACUCCUCUUUCCUUAUUAUUUACUUGUAAAUAAUUUUUUAUUAGGGAAAGAGGAGUUUUAUUGGGGUGAUAAAAAAAAAUUUUUAACUUUUUUUCUUUUUACCAUUUAUUUAUGGUUGUUUUUUUGAUCCUUUAAUUAUGGAUAAUAAGAUUAAGCUACCUUAGGGAUAACAGCGUUAUUAUUUUAGAGAGUUCAUAUUGAUGAAAUAGUUUGCGA